rnacentral:rRNA from 1 species
UUCUAUUUAUUUGAAGUUAAUUAUUUGGUGAAAAAGCUAAAUUUUUCUUAGAGGACGAUAAGACCCUAUAGAUCUUCAUAAAAUUAUUUUAGUUUCUUAGAUGUUAUCAAACUAGUAGAUCUUUUAUUUCGUUGGGGCGACGUUGAGGGUUGAUUUAUCUCUCACAAUGAUGUGACAUAAAUAAAUGAUUUUUGAUCCUUUAGUGAAUUUGGAUAAAGUUACCUUAGGGAUAACAGCGUAAUUUUUCUUGAGAGUCCUUAUCG